rnacentral:sRNA from 1 species
GCAGCAAAUCCAGAGGGACAGGCCCCUGCUCCUAGCUAAUCAGACAGCCAUCAACUAGAGGGAUUGAGGUUAAACGCCAGAAAGAACUUCCUACCAUGAAGGGAGCAGCACAGAGGGAAGUGGGGGCUGCAUGAUUGCUAGUCUGGGUGACUUCUUUUAAGAGCUGCUGGAAUAUGCUGUGACUUUCCCUCAACCUAUUGAUAAAUCUUGGUCCAUAGUUUGGGGAGGGGUGAGGCCUUUGACACAUCCCUAGGAAGAAGAGAGGGGCUGUUUGGGAUAAUUCCAAUUCAGUGCUGAGAAGGGGUUCCUCUCUAAUCACGGCCAGCUACCAGGAGGAGGGACAGUGCUUUCCAGCAGAGUGGCCCCAGGUAGGUUUUGCUCACUGUCUGUUCCUCCCUCCCUCCCCCUCAGGGUGUUCCUGGAGACCUUGGUGCCCCCGGCCCCUCUGGAGCAAGAGGCGAGAGAGGUUUCCCUGGC